rnacentral:rRNA from 1 species
GCCACGAAACGGCUGGACGGUCGGCGGGGUGGGCUUGGCUUGGCUUGGUUCGGGCCUAAGGUCGGGCCAGAGUGGUCGAGGAGAGGGCAAACUAAAGGCGGCGGGUGGACUAUUGGGCGCCGGCCCGUGCGGUCGCUCCGCUUCGGCACAGGCCAUUCCUUAGCCAACCAAGGGGGAGGGCGUGGCGGAGACGCGGCCGAUGUUUUCCGCGGUGUCCGCGCGGGGGAGGUGGGGCGCGAGACGGGAGGAGAGAAGAGGAAACCUCGAAAGCAAGGCCGGCCCGGAGGCGGGAGCUAGCGGGCUCGGCGGAGGAGCGCGGAGCCGCUGACAAAGGUGGGGGAACAGGUAGUUAAGGGCUAAGCAAAGCUUAGCGCAAACUAAACUAAAGUGAGCGGCAGCGGCAACGGAACGACACGAGCGUCCCAUAAGGUUAGGCCGCUCGGGCCCUUCGCUAGCUAGCCCCUAAGUAAGUAAAACCAAACGCUCAGAUAGAGUCUCAGCGCACAGGCGAAGACAAACGUUGGCACCUAGGACACAAGGAGCAUAAGCACAGGCGUAGGCGCGCGCAACCAACGUCCUAGCAGCUCGGACCAAAAACCUUAACCUCGAGACUAACACCUCGGCCUCCGGCUCCGUUCUACGUCUCCUUAGGUCUCCCGCGCGAUCAAGAAGUCUCCACCUCCAAGUCUAGAAGAGCACACUACUUCGGAUCCUAAAGAAUGGUUGGCCUUGGUCGCUAGACGCAAACCUAUUUACUAAUUUAGGGAGGGUUGAAGUCAAAGGACCAGACGUGUCAUCAGUUGCCGUUGUUAAGACUAGACUUAAGAAACGAAGAGGUCUUUAAUAUUUAACCUAAUGUGCCGUAUCGCCCUCGUUGUAGACGCAAACCUACUAAUAAUAAUGGGGGAGAUAAAUGAAGGAAGUAGAUGUGUCAAGUUAGAAUCAGCGAAGACUAAAUCUAAACAACUACCAACAGGUCUUUAACCCUAAUAUGCCGAAUGACCCUCGCUGAACAGUAAGAAGGAGUGGACACAAACCUACUAGUAAGAGAGAGACAAAUAAAGGAAAGGAGGUACCAAGUUAAUCAGAGGUGUGUUAAGACUAAACCUAAACAACGAGCAUGAGGUCUUUUAACCUUAAUAUGCCGAAUCGCUCACCAGGAGAAAAGGGAGCCGUACCGCCAAGGAAAAGACACCGAGUUGUCAUAAAGAAUGAGUUAUUAUAUUAAUAAUAAUCUUGUGUGGUCUGUUCAAAAGAGACGGAAUCAAACAGUUAAGAAUCGAGAACGUCUGUAGCAGAACCUUCCCUAUAUUAACCUUGGCCACGACAGAUGGACUGGAAGGGUCUGUUCUGAAAGAAUAUUGAAAAUGGAGGAGUAAACUUCGUACGAAAUCGACUCGGAGCCGUACGCAACGUCUAAGUAGACGUUUCCGCGUUCUUACCUCGAAGUUUGAUUACCGUGUAGGAUGUUGUCUUUCUGAGAAGAGGUAAAAAUUGAGAACGGAGAAUAAAAAUAAAGUGCAUCGAUGAACAAGUACGGAAACUAAAUCCGAAAAAACGAAGACGGGGGGACACUAACGUCUAAAUAAAAUCGGGUCUCGCACAACCAUGAACCAUCGCUCAGCUUUAGACAAUUUUAACCAACCAAACGUUAGAUGGAGAUACGCCAAGCUAAACAAUAUACAUGAGAAUAGGACAGCCGACGUCCGGUAUAAAUCCUUCAAACACGAAUACUCGUUUUAGAGACAUGUCACUCAGUCCAGUCACAAGAUAGUUGCCAAACAAACCAAAUCAAGACAAGGAGGUGUGUAACCAACGUCCUAACCUAGACCUUACACCUCUAGGGACACCACAACAUACAAUUCCCCUAAACUCGUCCAGUCCAAACUUACCGAUAGCGGACACACCAGAGGACCAAGAGUAGUGUACAAAGAAGUAGUAGUCGAUUAUACUCCACCUAAUCUCUCCAGGACCACCUAAGAAUAACAUCGUCGACUAGCGCAAAAACCACACACAAACACGAGGAAACGAACGUCGUCUACGUCCUCACAUCAUCAAGACGUGUCUACUUAGUAUCCCCUCUAAACCAAAGACAAGCAGUAAAACUAACUAACCUAUUACUUCGAAACCUAGAGAAUGGUUGGACCUUGAACACUAGACGCAAACCUAUUAUAUAUAAGGCAGGGUUAAGUUAAAUAAACCAAACGUGUUAUGUUGAAUCGGGAACCAUCAAGACUAGACAUAAGCAAACACCAAAAGGUCUUUAACUCCAAUUAACCACCUCUAAACCAAAGACAAGUAGUAAAACUAACCAACCUAUUACUUCAAAACCUUGGAUCUUGAACGCUAGUCGCAAACCUAUUACUUAAGACAGGGCUAAGUUAAAUAAACCAAACGCGUCAUGUUAAAUCAGGACCGUCAAGACUAGACAUAAGCAAACACCAAAAGUCUUUAACCCGAAGCAUUCCAAAUCCUCCUCGUUGGAUAGAAGAACGACUAGACGUAAACCUACUAAUGCUUGGGGAGAUAAAUUAAGGAAGAGUUAAGUUAAAAUCAGAGGCUGUUAAGACUAAACCUAGACAACGACCAACAGGUCUUUAACCCUAAUAUACCGAAUCGCCCUCGCUGGAUAGAAGAACGACUGGACGUGAACCUACUAGUAAUGAGAGAGACAAAUUCAAGAAGAGGUAUCGAGUUCAUCAACGGGCUGCUAAGACUAAAUCUUAAAAACGACCAAGAGGUCUUUAACCUUAAUAUACCGAAUCGCCCACCAGGAUAGAAAGGUUCCGUACCGCCAAGAAAGACACCGGGUUGUAUAGGCUGGAAAAUAGGAGGGAACUAUUAACUUGAAAGUUUACAAUCAAAGAAACGGAACUAACCAUUAAGAGUCGAGAACGUCUACGACUGAACCCUCGCUUUAUUAACCUUGGUCACAACAGAUGGACUGAAAGGUCGGCUCUGUCCGAAUGAAUGGGAAAUGGAGUUGUAAACUACGAACGAAAUCGACUCGGAUCAAAAGGAGAAUAUUGAAUAUCUUUCCAUAGAGGGAGCAACGUCCGGUAUCAACUACUGAGCAGGUUGGACUACGACUGAACUUAGGCAAACGUCAAGAAGAUUUAGAUAAUAAAAGAGUUAAGUAGUCUUGAAUCUGUCGGAAGUUUUAAUAGAAUGGUCUGUUAUAAAACUUAAGUCUUAAUAGACGGUUCCAAGUUGUUACCUCUAAGUUUGAUUACCUUGUAGGAUGUUACUUUUUCUCACGAGGUCAAAAUUGAGUGGAGAAUACGAUGAACAAGUACAGAAACUAAAUCCAAAAAGGAAGACGGGAGGGAAACCAACGUCUAAUUCGGGUUUGGUACGACCAUCACUCAACCUUAGACAAUUUUAGCAAACCAAACGCUAGAUAGAGAGAGAGAGACCUAGCUAAACAACAAACAUGAGAACUAGGGACCAGAAGACGCACAUAGUCAACGUCCUAUAUAAAUCCUUCAGACCCGGAUACACGUCCUAUAUAAACCUAUACAACCACCAAGAGGUCUUUAACCUUAAUAUACCGCAUCGCCCUCGCUGCGUAGAACGACGAGACACAAACCUAUUAAUAGUGAAGGAGACAAAAUGAGAAAGUAGAGGUGACAAGACAAAACCAAAGGGUGUUAAGACUAAAUUUGAUAAAGAACCACCGAGAGGUCUUUAACCUUAUUAUACCGAAUCUUCCGCAGGAUAAAAAGGAGCCGUACCGCCAAGGAAGACACCGAUUUUUGAAAGAGUUGGAAAAAAUGAGAUAUUAACUUGAGAGAUCUGUAAUCCAAAAGAAACGGAAUCAUUAAUAGUCGAGAACGUCUAUGACUGAACCUUUCCUAUAUUGACGUCAAACCUUGGACGCAACAACAGGAGGUAGUAGGUAUGGACUGGGAUCUGUCCGAAAUGAACAAGGGUGAGUUAGUAGGUACGAAAUCGAUAAAUAUUCUUCGUAAAGGGGAUUGUUAAAAAAAAUAUCUUUGCCACAGAACGAGUGACGUCCAACAUCAACUGUUUGAGGACAGGUCGGACUACUACUUAGGCAGAUGACUAGAAGCUUUAGAUGUCACAGCAAAGUUAAGUAACGUUGAAUGUAUUGGAUAUUUAAUAGAAUGAUCUGUUAAAAAUUUAUGUCUAAGUAUACGUCGUGCUUAUAUAUUCUACUAGAUCUCGGAUGAUUACCGUGUAGGAUGUUGGCUUUUUCUGAGAAUGGAAGGAAAAAAAAUUAAAGUAAAUCAAUGAACCGGUAGAGAGACUGUAUCCAAAAACGGGGACGGGAAGGAUACCAACGUCUAAAAAGAAAUCGGGUCCGGUACACCCGUUACUGAUUUGAGAACUAGGGACAAAAUAACCAGAAGACGCACACACCCAACCGUUAUAUAUUAAAAAUAAUCCUCAAACCCGGGUUUGGAAACGAGACAUGUACCUCAGUCCAGUCACAGAGCAUCUGCCAGACAAACAAAGUAAACAAUAGCGGCGGAGAUGUUAAACCGAACGUCCUGACCUAGAACUAGACCAGACCUUCAUUUCGAGGAACACCCAACACUUGCAUACCACCUCCCCUGAGCUCCGUCCAGUCAAAGUACAAAGCAGUGUAACCAAAUGACCUAAGGAGUAGACACGAACCACUGCAGUCUAAACUCACCGAUAUGUAAUUCAAGAAGCUAAGCAAGCCUUAGAAGAAGUUGGUGUUUUUGAAUGUGGACCUGAGAUACGGACAAAGUUGAUAAAUGGUCUAAAGUGAUACCAGACUGAAAGGAACUUCUUGAAAAUUCAUACGACUAAUAUAAACCCAACUAAACGUAACAACCUCCAAAAUAACGUUCUAACAUCUCAACCUAUCAGUCAAUCGCGCCCCUGAACCACAUCGUUUACCUGAAGGGACUACCAAAACUGGAGACUAAUGACUAGGACUUCGUAUUACUAAACCAGAAACACCAUCAAAAGUCAAACUUGAACGUAAGUCACCGGAGUAUAGAAACCACGUCGAACCUCAAUCAUCACACGUGUAGACUACUAAGAAAGUUGACAGGACUUCGUAGAAUGAACCAAAGACAACACGGUAGGAUGACCAAUGCCAUAGAAUAAGUUGAACGUACACCAAACCUACCUUAUACUAGAAUAGAAAACGAGCUUAGUUCUUUUACGAUCUUCAGAGUUUGUUCCCAGGUUUUACCUUUAUAGUCAAGCAUGAGUCAAACAUAUCGUCUAAUAGUUUCAAACUGAACCGAUAAUUAAUGGACCAAUGGUAUGACAAAGUACUUCAAACCAAAACCAUAAACCGACGAACAUAGAAAGUUGAACGUUUAAACAGUGGAUUAUCCUUCAUUUCUAGCGUACAUGUACUCGAGACUUACGUCAUUUUUACAAUUCGUAUAAUAUACUUAUAUACACUUAACCAGUAUGCACCUAAACAGUCAGAUGAUAAGAUGUAUGAGAACAGGUACUAACAUGAACCAAACAAAUAUAUGCAAGAAAUCCAAGAAGAAUACCGUGUUUUAGUUUAAAACCACACGUGUAUAACAAUUGAAACCACUAUUUCUUUCUAGGGUGGGAGCGUGAACACAACCAAAUUGUCAUCACCGGGGGACAUCAAACCAUUAUAACUACUGAACCAUAUGUCCUUCUCCAAUCCUCAAUAACGAUAUAUGUAUAUGAUUUUGUUACCUCUCAACUUCCAAGACUUGACCUCCGAACUUGUUUAUAAAACGGGACUUGUGAGGUGAGUACAGGUGACUUAUACUAAGACUAAACAACCAUACCUCAACUAAAAGUCACUACAAGAAGAGUAACCACGAAGAGGUCACUCUAGACCUAAGAAGGUACGUAGAAGAGCCAAACGACCCCUUGAAGGAUCGUUUUGUCAGACCGUAAACUACUAGGGAUUUGUGAGACCGAUUAAACUACUACUUAGGACGACUAAUGAAAGCUGUAUACCUUUAAACAAAGGAUGAAGUAAGUAGGACCUAAAUUUCUUUGUCGCGAGUGUGUAGAGAUACCAGGAGGUUACCGAUUAAAAUAGAUAUAAUACUUUAGAAGGUAAUGUAUGAAUGACUUAGAUAUUAUUAAAGUAUACAAGUGUGUAGAAUACCAGGAGUUACCGAUAACUGGAAGAAAAGGCGGCUUGUCGAUUAAACAAUACCUAAUACCUUAGAAGUAUGUAUAACAAUUUAUAUACUUAGAUAUUAAAGUAUCGCAAGUGCGUAGAAUACCAGGAGAUUACCGAUUAACUGGAAGAAAAGACCGCUUGACGAUUAAACUAGACCUAAGAUUGGUGUAUUAAGAGAAAUUAAUGUACAGGAAUGAAAAGACCGUUGAAGGAUCAAAAUUAAAUCAACCAUUGAUCGUUUCAUGAUUAAACUACUAAGGACG